UAGAUUUUAAAUUAGAUUUAUAUUAGAUUUAAAUUAAUGAAAAGAACACUGUGUAAUAUUUCGGGGGAUCUUUUAGCAGAAAUGGAAUAUGACAUUCAAAAUUAUGUUUUCAUUAGUGUAUAAUCACUUGAAACUUUGAAUCGUUGUGUUUUCGUUAGCUUAGAAUGAGCCCUUCAUAUCUACAUAGGGAGC